GUCGGCGAACAUGGAUCUAGUGCACGGUUGGUAAUGAUUAAGUUCGUGACUAGAUUUCAUGCUCGUCUAUU
rnacentral:pre_miRNA from 1 species